rnacentral:rRNA from 1 species
GAGUUUGAUCCUGGCUCAGAACGUACGCUGGCGGCACGCCUAACACAUGCAAGUCGAACGCAGUAGCAAUACUGAGUGGCAAACGGGUGAGUAUAAUGUGGGAAUCUGCCUUUUGGUUUGGAAUAACACGGGGAAACUUGUGCUAAUACCGAAUAAGCCCUUACGGGGAAAGUUUUAACGCCGAAAGAUGAGCCCGCACUUGAUUAGCUAGUUGGUAAGGUAAAAGCUUACCAAGGCAAUGAUCAAUAGCUGUUCUUAGAGGAAGACCAGCCACAUUGGGACUGAGACACGGCCCAGACUCCUACGGGAGGCAGCAGUGGGGAAUCUUGCACAAUGGGGGAAACCCUGAUGCAGCGAUGCCGCGUGAGUGAAGAAGGCCUUUGGGUUGUAAAACUCUUUCGUCGGGGAAGAAAAUGACUGUACCCGAAUAAGAAGGUCCGGCUAACUUCGUGCCAGCAGCCGCGGUAAUACGAAGGGACCUAGCGUAGUUCGGAAUUACUGGGCUUAAAGAGUUCGUAGGUGGUUGAAAAAGUUGGUGGUGAAAUCCCAGAGCUUAACUCUGGAACUGCCAUCAAAACUUUUCAGCUAGAGUAUGAUAGAGGAAAGCAGAAUUUCUAGUGUAGAGGUGAAAUUCGUAGAUAUUAGAAAGAAUACCAAUUGCGAAGGCAGCUUUCUGGAUCAUUACUGACACUGAGGAACGGAAGCAUGGGUAGCGAAGAGGAUUAGAUACCCUCGUAGUCCAUGCCGCAAACGAUGUGUGUUAGACGUUGGAAAAUUAUUUUCAGUGUCGCAGCGAAAGCGAUAAACACACCGCCUGGGGAGUACGACCGCAAGGUUAAAACUCAAAUGAAUUGACGGGGACCCGCACAAGUAGUGGAGCAUGUGGUUUAAUUCGAAGAUACGCGCAGAACCUUACCAACACUUGACAUGUUCGUCGCGACUUUAAGAGAUUAAAGUUUUCGGUUCGGCCGGACGAAACACAGGUGCUGCAUGGCUGUCGUCAGCUCGUGUCGUGAGAUGUUGGGUUAAGUCCCGCAACGAGCGCAACCCUCACUUUUAGUUGCCAUCAUUAAGUUGGGCACUCUGAAAGAACUGCCAGUGAUAAGCUGGAGGAAGGUGGGGAUGACGUCAAGUCCUCAUGGCCCUUACGUGUUGGGCUACACACGUGCUACAAUGGUAUCUACAACAGGAAGCAAGACUGCGAAGUUAAGCAAAUCCUUAAAAGAUACCUCAGUUCGGAUUGCACUCUGCAACUCGAGUGCAUGAAGCUGGAAUUACUAGUAAUCGUGGAUCAGCGUGCCACGGUGAAUGCGUUCCCGGGUCUUGCACACAC